UCUGGAAGGUUCUGGGCCGGCCCUCAGUCGCUGCCGGGCGGCGGGAGCGAGCGGAGCUUUUGUCUUGGGGCUCUGUCGCGGCCGUAUCGCGACUCUUUCGCGGGUGGAGCAGCGUGGCCCGGCGCUAUGGGGGUGACUCACGAAGAGGGGCUCUCCCCUCAGGACCCGUGCGGGGGCAGCCCGGGCGGCUGGAGCCGGAGCGCCCAGGUGCCUCACGAGAACCAGCACCAGGGGGGCCCGGCCGCGCCCAGCGGAACAGAGACUGGGCAUUGCAGAGCAACAGUAAAACCAGAACCAGCUUCUGAAAGCACCUGUGUGCAGAAAACAGAAGACAUGACGGGUUUCAUGGAUGACUUGACCCUCAGCUCUCCGAAGAAGAGAGAGACGUCCGUGAGAUCCAAGAGGAGCUGUGACAGGUCGUCAACAAGGUCCUCCAGCAGAUCCUCGUGCAGCUCACGGUCCAGCUCCAGCAGCUCCUCUUCAGCCUCCUCGCGGAGCUGGAGCCGCUCCAGGUCGAGGUCACGGGCCAGAAGGAACGGUUCCCGCCGGUCCAGGAGAUACUCCCGCUCCUACUCGCGGAGCCGCUCCAGGUCGCGCGGGUACCGCCGGUACCGGGGCAGGUACCACGCCAGGCACUACCGGAGGUACCGCCGCUCCCCCCCGCGCUACCGGUCCCGCAGCAGGUCCUGGUCCCGCGGCAGGUCCUACUACAGAAGGUCCUACUCGAGGAGCAGGUCCCGUUCCAGAGGCCGGAGGUAUUACGGAUUUGGGCGAACCAUCUAUCCCGAGGCUUACAGGAGCUGGAGGAGCAGGUCACGGACACGGUCCCGCAGUCGGUCACCUCUCCACCUCAGUGAGAAAGACAAGAGGGAACUCCUGGAAAUUGCGAAAGCCAAUGCUGCCAAAGCUCUGGGAACAGAUAACAUUGUCUUGCCAGCAAGCUUGAAGAUCCCUCCUCCUGCCAAAGAGAUAAAAAAUGAAAAACAGGAGCGGGAAGAACCUGGAGAGUCAGCUGAGAUGUUGAGAGAGUACAGAAGAAGAGGCCUGCAUCACUUGCAGAUAAGUUUAUUGUCAUUAUCCAAAGCUCUGCAGGAUGGUUAUGCAGAACUUAAUGCCACUUGCUCUGUCACUGCACUCGUGUGACAGUUCAUGCUGUGACUGAAUCCUUAUAAACUGUAACUGGGCUGUGGAUAUCACGUCCAUUCACACCUGAAUUGGCACAGCCACGUUGGUAAAAAUACUGAAUGCAUUUCCAAUUGGGUUCAGCAUUGCUCUGUUUGCAUAUCCAGUAGCUUUACAGCUACUUUUGAUGUAAAUACCUGAAACAACUCCAUACCAGAAAGUUCAUGCUCUGUAGUAACUGCCUGACCUUGCAUGGGGUGAUGUGUCCUCCCACUGAGGCUGUGUGUGCUCUUCUCUAGCAACCCAGAAGUGCAGCAGAAGACAUGACCAAGACUGGGAUGGAGAGAGCAACCAUACAGAGGAGCAUUUCCUUCAGUCCUAAUAACACAAUGGCAAAGCCAGCCCUGCAGAAGCCAGUGAGCCAUGUUGUUAAGGAGCCAGUAGUUUCUCCAGCAAGAGAAGAUGACAGGAAGGGAAGUCCCUAUGGGCAGUGGGUUCCUGUCAAGAAGGAGGAGAAGAAAACAUUCUUAAACUUCUCACCCAAAAGCACCUUGUUCCGGGCCCGCUGACGGGAUUCACUGUCUGACUGCAGCACUUCACAUCCUUCAGUAGAGAGAUUGCAAACUUUUCUGAUGGGGUUGAAGAUUUGUUAAUACUGAGUAUUUAUUUUGAGAUUUUUAAUUUUUGGAAUCUAAGGUUUCUCUUUCAGAUAGAGAGCACACUGAUCCCGAAGCCACAGAUGGGAAUCUUGUGUAUAUUUGUAAAUAUUUUGUAUUGCUUUAUCGGACUAGACCUUGCAGGUGGGUAACUUUUUCUAAACCAUAGUUGAGUAGCUGUUCUUUGGACACUUGGAUUUACAUUGUGUAACUGUUUACUUCAAGUGAAUAAAGUUUAGUUUUGCACUGGC